CCUACGGGAGGCUGCAGUGGGGGCUAUUGCACAAUGGGGGAAACCCUGAUGCAGCGACGCCGCGUGGGUGAAGAAGAGCCUCGGCGCGUAAAGCCCUGUCAGCAGGGAAGAAAAUGACGGUACCUGCAAAGGAAGCACCGGCUAACUCCGUGCCCGCAGCCGCGGUAAUACGGAGGGUGCGAGCGGUAAUCAGAAUUACUGGGCGUAAAGCGCUCGUAGGCGGGAUGUCAAGUCAAGGGUGAAAUCCCCCCGCUCAACGUGGGAACUGCCUUUGAAAAUGGCAAACUGGAGUGUGUGAGAGGAUAGUGGAAUUCCAGGUGUAGGAGUGAAAUCCGUAGAUAUCUGGAGGAACAUCAGUGGCGAAGGCGACUAUCUGGCACAUAACUGACGCUGAGGAGCGAAAGCGUGGGUAGCAAACAGGAUUAGAUACCCGGGUAGUC
rnacentral:rRNA from 1 species